ACACAACUACACACCCAACUAUAGAUACUAAACAUAGUAUAGAGACUAAACAUACAGCAGUUAGCUUGGAGAAAAAAGAGGCUAAUAAUCAGCUAGCACAACAGGCUAACACUCAGCUAGCUGGGGUUGCACUGUGUAUAAGACAGUAGUUUUGGAAUUGUUAGUUAGAUUACUUGUUGGUUAUUACUGCAUUGUCGGAACUAGAAGCACAAGCAUUUCGCUACACUCGCAUUAACAUCUGCUAACCAUGUGUAUGUGACAAAUAAAAUUUGAUUUGAUUUGAUUUAGCACAACAGGCUAACACUCAGCUAGCACAAUAGGCUAACACUCAGCUAGCACAACAGGCUAACACUCAGCUAGCACAACAGGCUAACACUCAGCCAGCACAACAGGAUAACACUCAGCUUGUGAAACAGGCUAAAACUCAACUAGCACAACAGGCUAACACUCAGCUAUGUACAACAGGCUAACACUCAGCUAGCGCAACAGGAUAACACUCAGCUUGUGCAACAGGCUAACACUCAGCUUGUGCAACAGGCUAACACUCAGCUAGCGCAACAGGAUAACACUCAGCUUGUGCAACAGGCUAACACUCGACUAGCACAACAGGCUAACUCUCAACUAGCACAACAGGCUAACACACAGACAUUUGACACCUCGCCCUCAACCCCACCACACGCCUUCCCCCAGCUCCACACCCAGAGAGACAGAGCUACAGUCCUGCACUGAAAGAGACAGACCAGAGGAACAGCUGAGACCAGACCAGCUGGGACCAUCAGAACUACUGUCCUCCAGCUGGGACCAUCAGAACUACUGUCCUCCAGCUGGGACCAUCAGAACUACUGUCCUCCAGCUGGGACCAUCAGAACUACUGUCCUCCAGCUGGGACCAUCAGAACUACUGUCCUCCAGCUGGGACCAUCAGAACUACUGUCCUCCAGUGAGACCAUCAGAACUACUGUCCUCCAGCUGUGACCAUCAGAACUACUGUCCUCCAGUGAGACCAUCAGAACUACUGUCCUCCAGCUGGGACCAUCAGAACUACUGUCCUCCAGCUGGGACCAUCAGACUUACUGUCCUCCAGCUGAGACCAUCAGAACUACUGUCCUCCAGCUGGGACCAUCAGAACUACUGUCCUCCAGCUGUGACCAUCAGAACUACUGUCCUCCAGCUGGGACCAUCAGAACUACUGUCCUCCACUGAGACCAUCAGAACUACUGUCCUCCAGCUGGGACCAUCAGAACUACUGUCCUCCAGCUGGGACCAUCAGAACUACUGUCCUCCAGUGAGACCAUCAGAACUACUGUCCUCCAGUGAGACCAUCAGAACUACUGUCCUCUAGUGAGACCAUCAGAACUACUGUCCUCCAGCUGAGACCAGCAGACCUGCUGUCCUCCAGUGAGACCAGUAGAACUACUGUCCUCCAGCUGAGACCAGCAGACCUGCUGUCCUCCAGUAUUCACACAGACAGUAUUAAGACUAAUUUCAAAGCCAUCGGUUCCAGCUAAACGACGUCUGCUCCCGUCCGCACUGACACCUUUCGAAGGGGAAGUUUUGGAGGACGGGAUGCGGAACUCUUGUAAAGGUGGAAACGAGGCAUUGCCAGAGAGCCUAGAGACUGGUGUUUUACUGUUAAACAUUUAUAACCCCCCAGUCUACAUUUACCCAUCACCACCACCAGCCCAUAGAGACCCCCCAGUCUCCAGUUACCCAUCACCACCACCAGCCCAUAUAGACCCCCCAGUCUACAUUUACCCAUCACCACCACCAGCCCAUAGAGAACCACCCCCAUCUCCAGUUACCCAUCACCACCACCAGCCCAUAGAGACCCCCCAGUCUACAUUUACCCAUCACCACCACCAGCCCAUAGAGACCCCCCAGUCUCCAGUUACCCAUCACCACCACCAGCCCAUAGAGACCCCCUCAGUCUCCAGUUACCCAUCACCACCACCAGCCCAUAGAGAACCACCCCCAGUCUCCAGUUACCCCAUCACCACCACCAGCCCAUAGAGAACCACCCCCCAGUCUCCAGUUACCCCAUCACCACCACCAGCCCAUAGAGAACCACCCGCCCAGUCUCCAGUUACCCCAUCACCACCACCAGCCCAUAGAAAACCACCCCCAGUCUCCAGUUACCCCAUCACCACCACCAGCCCAUAGAAACCCCCCAGUCUCCAGUUACCCCAUCACCACCACCAGCCCAUAGAGAACCCCCCAGUCUACAGUUACCCCAUCACCACCACCAGCCCAUAGAGAACCGCCCCCAGUCUUGAAUGCCCAGUUGCACACUCAGUUGAAUUAAAUGCAUGCCAGGUGACUACCUCAUGAAGCUGGUUGAGAGAAUGCCAAGAGUGUGCAAAUCUGUCAUCAAGGCAAAGGGUGGCUACUUUGAAGAAUCUCAAAUAUUAAAUAUAUUUUAAUUUGUUUAACCCUUUUUUGUUUACUAAAUGAGUCUGUUAUUUCAUUGUUUUGAUGUCUUCACUAUUAUUCUACAAUGUAGGGUUAGGGUUAGGGUUAAUGUAGUUGUUCAGCAUAGAUAAUGUAGUUGUUCAUUAUAGAUAAUGUUCAGUAUAGAUAAUGUAGCCGGGCAGUACAGAUAAUGUAGUUGCUCAGUAUUGAUAAUGUAGUUAUGCAGAGCAGGUAGCCUAGUGGUUAGAGGGGCAGCAGGUAGUCUAGUGGUUAGAGGCAGGUAGCCUAGUGGUUAGAGCAGGUAGCCUAGUGGUUCGAGACAGGUAGCAUAGUGGUUAGAGCAGGUAGCCUAGUGGUUAGAGCAUGUAGCCUAGUGGUUAGAGCAUGUAGCCUAGUGGUUAGAGGGGCGGCAGGUAGCCUCGUGGUUAGAGCAGGUAGCCUAGUGGUUAGAGCCAGGUAGCCUAGUGGUUAGAGCCAGGUAGCCUAGUGGUUAGAGACAGGUAGCCUAGUGGUUAGAGGCAGGUAGCCUAGUGGUUAGAGGCAGGUAGCCUAGUGGUUAGAGCAGGUAGCCUAGUGGUUAGAGACAGGUAGCCUAGUGGUUAGAGACAGAUAGCCUAGUGGUUAGAGGCAGGUAGCCUAGUGGUUAGAGCAGGUAGCCUAGUGGUUAGAGGCAGGUAGCCUAGUGGUUAGAGCAGGUAGCCUAGUGGUUAGAGCAGGUAGCCUAGUGGUUAGAGCAGGUAGUCUAGUGGUUAGAGCAGGUAGUCUAGUGGUUAGAGCAGGUAGCCUAGUGGUUAGAGCAGGUAGCCUAGUGGUUAGAGCAGGUAGUCUAGUGGUUAGAGCAGAUAGCCUAGUGGUUAGAGCAGGUAGCCUAAUGGUUAGAGCCAGGUAGCCUAAUGGUUAGAGCCAGGUAGCCUAGUGGUUAGAGGCAAGUAGCCUAGUGGUUAGAGCCAUCACUACAUAGAGUUCCACACAGCAAUGCAGCUACUGAUAGAUUUAAGGUACAGACAUCUAAAAGUUGUUCAGCAAUGUGAACAUUUUGUAAAAACAAUGUCAGAGUAGCAGAGACAGAUUAGGACGUUGCUAUAGGUUGGCAUGUUGAUAAGGCCCUCCUCCUCGUCCAAUCACAACAACACAAUAUCAGAGUAGCAGAGACAGAUCAGGACGUUGCUGUAGGUUCGCAUGUUGAUAAGGCCCUCCUCCUCCCCUCCCCUCCUC
ensembl:lncRNA